rnacentral:sRNA from 1 species
UGUCUUUUUGACUACAGCGAUCUCAAAGAUCAAAAAGGCAAAGAUGACAGAUAUGUAAAUCACUUUAUGUCAAGUAAUCAAGCGAUAAUCAAAGAAGUAAAAAUGAAAUUACCUGAUAAGAAUAUAGCCACAUGCAUUUUUUUAUGCAACGCCGAUGCAACUGACCAAAUAUUUGAACAAGAUCGCAAAGAAGCUGUUGUUUUGUUGAAGGUACUUGUGCUUCUAUCUAUCUAUCUAUCGAUCGAUCUAUAUUAU